UACGGAAGGGGCAAGCGUUGUUCGGAAUCAUUGGGCGUAAAGGGCGCGUAGGCGGCCGAUCAAGUUAGAUGUGAAAGUCCUGGGCUUAACCUGGGGACUGCAUUUGAUACUGAUUGGCUUGAAUUCGGGAGAGGAUAGCGGAAUUCCCAGUGUAGAGGUGAAAUUCGUAGAUAUUGGGAAGAACACCGGUGGCGAAGGCGGCUAUCUGGACCGACAUUGACGCUGAGGCGCGAAAGCGUGGGGGAGCAAACAGGG
rnacentral:rRNA from 1 species